rnacentral:lncRNA from 1 species
UGGUGAUUUCACAGAAAAUAUGUUACUUCCAUUUUCUCCAUCCGCCCAGAAUGAACACAUGGAAAGCUGAAGUUGGAAAGAGUUCUGGAGAAGCUGUUCCUAGGAGAAGCUGGGAGAAUACAAAGGGACAGACUUGAGCUAUAAGGAAGGAUGUCUUUCAUAUUUGGGCAGCAUCUCAUCAAGCCUUCCGUGGUGUUUUUGAGGACGGAAUUGUCCUUUGCUCUCGUGAACAGGAAGCCGGUGGUCCCAGGACAAAUAUGUCGCUGCCAGCUGCAAUUGGAAAUCACGUAUAUGAAGCACUCUAGAUUAGUAAAAGACAGAAGAAGGG